GGGGGAAUUUAUUUAUUGCUUUCAGGCAGGCAGGGGAGGGUCAGUCGUCCUUCUUGUACCAGCUGUUUCUUAAGCAACUUUAAUUCAAAAUAACCAAGAUGUUAAAGUGGCACAUUUUGAGGCAGCCUGCCCUGAGCCCCGUCAAUGCCAUAGUCAAGGUAGAGCUCCAUUUUCUGAGUGGAGUUUGGGCAGAAGAAGGGGGCCCCACUUCUUAACUGCGCUCAUCUUGAACCCAACUUCUGCAACAGUUGGUAUGAGAAGAACAUGCUCGGGUCAGCACUAGUUCCAGGAGAAAAACAAGUGAGAUGUGAAGCAGAGCUGGAUCAGCUGAGUUGCCCCAGUGGAACCCUCAAUAUCAGUCAACUGCCUGCCAGCCUGCAAACAUAUAAGUCAGUCCAGCUGAGAUUAGCAGAACCAUUAAUGAGCCCAGCCUAGAUCAGCUGACCCCAGCCAAACCAGAAACACGAGCUAAAUAAAUAUUUGUUGUUGCAUGGCACUGAGGUGUUAUGGUUGACGGUUAUACUGAAUCACUGUGAAAAUAGAUAAUUGAUAUGUGGUCAGACAAAAUAAUCUCAACUAACGCUAUGUUUUAUUACAUAUUGAUGAAAAUUUCUUCUGGCCUACUAUGUGAAAAAGUUUUAUAAAUGUACUAUAAACACUUGAGAAAAAAUGAAGGGAGAAAUUGACAGCAAAAUAAUCAUAGUAGGGUAUUUCAAUAUUCCACUUCCAACAAUACAUAGAU
rnacentral:lncRNA from 1 species